AUUCUAUUAAAAUGUAUCCUGAUCUCCUAAGGCCUCCAAAUCUCAACGACACAGAGUAAAUUUCCCAAUUGGUAAAUAGUUUCUGGCACCCAACUUGAGGGAGAUGAGAAACCCCACUAACUGCAGAACAUGCAGACAAGAUCCCGAAGCAACGGACUUAAAAGAGUGGCGAAAGGCGCUGUGUUCACCUAUUUUGAAUUGCAAUUGACCAAAGCAAAUGAAGUCACACAGGAGG